GAUGAACGCUGGCGGCGUGCCUAAUACAUGCAAGUCGAGCGAACGGACGAGAAGCUUGCUUCUCUGAUGUUAGCGGCGGACGGGUGAGUAACACGUGGAUAACCUACCUAUAAGACUGGGAUAACUUCGGGAAACCGGAGCUAAUACCGGAUAAUAUUUUGAACCGCAUGGUUCAAAAGUGAAAGACGGUCUUGCUGUCACUUAUAGAUGGAUCCGCGCUGCAUUAGCUAGCUGGUAAGGUAACGGCUUACCAAGGCAACGAUGCAUAGCCGACCUGAGAGGGUGAUCGGCCACACUCGAACUGAGACACGGUCCAGACUCCUACGGGAGGCAGCAGUAGGGAAUCUUCCGCAAUGGGCGAAAGCCUGACGGAGCAACGCCGCGUGAGUGAUGAAGGUCUUCGGAUCGUAAAACUCUGUUAUUAGGGAAGAACAUAUGUGUAAGUAACUGUGCACAUCUUGACGGUACCUAAUCAGAAAGCCACGGCUAACUACGUG
rnacentral:rRNA from 1 species